rnacentral:rRNA from 1 species
AGAGUUUGAUCCCGGCUCAGGAUGAACGCCGGCGGUGUGCCUAAUACAUGCAAGUCGUACGCACUGGCCCAACUGAUUGAUGGUGCUUGCACCUGAUUGACGAUGGAUCACCAGUGAGUGGCGGACGGGUGAGUAACACGUAGGUAACCUGCCUCGGAGCGGGGGAUAACAUUUGGAAACAGAUGCUAAUACCGCAUAACAACAAAAGCCACAUGGCUUUUGUUUGAAAGGUGGCUUUGGCUAUCACUCUGGGAUGGACCUGCGGUGCAUUAGCUAGUUGGUAAGGUAACGGCUUACCAAGGCAAUGAUGCAUAGCCGAGUUGAGAGACUGAUCGGCCACAAUGGAACUGAGACACGGUCCAUACUCCUACGGGAGGCAGCAGUAGGGAAUCUUCCACAAUGGGCGCAAGCCUGAUGGAGCAACACCGCGUGAGUGAAGAAGGGUUUCGGCUCGUAAAGCUCUGUUGUUGGAGAAGAACGUGCGUGAGAGUAACUGUUCACGCAGUGACGGUAUCCAACCAGAAAGUCACGGCUAACUACGUGCCAGCAGCCGCGGUAAUACGUAGGUGGCAAGCGUUAUCCGGAUUUAUUGGGCGUAAAGCGAGCGCAGGCGGUUGCUUAGGUCUGAUGUGAAAGCCUUCGGCUUAACCGAAGAAGUGCAUCGGAAACCGGGCGACUUGAGUGCAGAAGAGGACAGUGGAACUCCAUGUGUAGCGGUGGAAUGCGUAGAUAUAUGGAAGAACACCAGUGGCGAAGGCGGCUGUCUGGUCUGCAACUGACGCUGAGGCUCGAAAGCAUGGGUAGCGAACAGGAUUAGAUACCCUGGUAGUCCAUGCCGUAAACGAUGAGUGCUAGGUGUUUGGAGGGUUUCCGCCCUUCAGUGGCCGAACUAACGCAUU